GAUAGUUGUUGACUGAAUAAACAAAGCCCAGAACGUUGCCCGGAAUCGUGCAGAGAGCAGAGAAGGGGCUUCAGGAGGAAUCUUUAAAAAGCAACUUGAGGAGGAGCAGGAUGAUAGCGAAGGGCCAGAGGUGUUGGAGGUGGACCAGGCAGAGAGGGAGAGAGGUGACUUCCCAGACAAGGGUGAUCACAGGUGCCUAAUGCUGCCAAGAGACCAAAAUAGGAGUUCCCUGGUGGCUCAGCAGGUUAAGGAUUGGGUGUUGCCACUGCUGUGGUUUGAGUCAAUGCUGUGGUUUGAGUCAAUGCUGUGGCGCAGGUUCAAUCCCUAGCCCGGAAACUUCCACAUGCCACAUUAUAUAUAUAUAAAAAGGCCAGGAGUUCCCGUCGUGGUGCAGGGCUGUGUUUGCCCGGAUCUUAGUCAGCACCUGGCCACCUCCUGUCCUUCAGGCCUUUCUAUGCCAGGUGUGUCCCCAAGGACAUCUGUGCCCUUGCCCUGGGCCCAUGUUCACAGAUGUUGGUACAGGCCCGCUGCAGAAGCAGCCCCGCCUCUGGCUGUGCUGGUUAUGGGCAGAGGGGCCCCUUUCCCUGCCGAGCAUGGGUUCUGACAGGGGAGAGCAAAGCCUCCUUCCCCAGACCGUGUCUCCCCAGCCAGCGCCCUGGCCUGAACGCCUGACUUUCCCCUCUGGAGGGCGACGGGGGUGGGGGGUAGAGGGGGUGAGGGGGCUGCGUCUGAAGCCGCCUGUGCUGAGCGAAGUGGAAAGAGAUCUUCCUUUGCGGUGCCCCAGCUCUCAGCCCUGAAGCAUCUUUACAAAAGGGUGUUGAUUUUAUCCAGCUUGGAUCGGAGCCAAGUCUGUUGUCUGAAGAGAUGCCUGAGCUGGGUCUCAGAAGCCAAAGGCCCCUCCCUCGGCAUCCCCCCACUCCAGGCUUGGCCCAGCCCUCCCAGCGCCUCCACCUCCUGGUCUUCGGGCUGAAGGGAAAUUUCAAAUAGAAGGUGGUGUUAGGAUAACACGGAGUGGUUUUUUUAAGGUGCUGUUUCAUUUUCUAUUCUUUCUUUCAAAUUCUCUGUGGAACAUAUGACUAUCAGGGUUUUUUUUUUUUAAGUAUUCAGGGGGCUAAGCUGGGGCAAUUAGAAUAGUCACUUGAAAUAGUCCACCCCAGUGCUCUGAAAGUGACGUGCUAAAGGUGACUGGAUUAGCAGUGCUAGUCGCGUUCCUGCCAGAGGGAAAAGAAAGGGUGCAGCCUGCUCUGCUGUGCGCCAGGCUGCGAGUCAGGAUGGAGAAAAUGAUGUGGGCGGGAGGGUGCCCUCAUCCCGCAGCACGGCUGAGAUGUUGCAAAACACGUGGCCUCUUUGGCAUCCCUAGGGGUGGGUGGGAAGGGAGUGGACUGCUCUCUGAGAAGCAAGCCCUCUCCAUCCUUAGGAAAACCCCGGAAGUGCUCAGCACCCAAGCUAAGGGGCAGACCGCCAUCCCACUGCCCCUCUCUGCUGAUGGCCUUGCACCUGCUUCAAGGAGAAAGUUAGAGGAACCUGGGAGACCAUCCACGCCCUCCCCACCUGCCCGCCCGUUUGCCUUCACCAUCUUCGUCUUCUCCCCCAGAACCGUGGACCAACCCCCUGGGCACAAAAUCCCAUCUUAACUCUCCUGCUCCAAGGACACAGCUCUAGCAAUCCCCUCUCCUCCCACGUCAGGGCUUCCUAUCCCUACGGGUUCACCCCAUCAAUGUUCUAGCAUGUUCUCCUCUUUCUGUAAACGCGAACUCCCCUUGGGACCCCACUUCUCAUCUGUCACCCUAUUCUGCUGCUUCCUGUCACAGCCAAACUCCUGGGGAACGUUGCCUCCAAUUUCUCUCCGUCCAGCCCCUUACCUCUUCCCUCCCUGACCUGUUUCUUCUUCUUACACCUGUCAUCAGCAUGCUACGAGCCCCACACAUUUCUCCAGUGCCUGCUGCUUCCCUAGAAUUAAUCUCCUUGAGGACAGGAAUUUGGGCUGCCUUACCCACAGCUGCCCCCUUUCCCACCUAGAACAGUGCUGGUCUUGACAGGGGACGGAACAAAUAUUUUUGAAAUAAGCGAAUGAGGAGUUCCCUGGUAGCUCAGUAGGUUAAGGAUCCACCAUUGUCACUGCUGUGGCUCUGGUGAUGGUGGCACAGGUUCAGUCCCUGGCCAGGGAACUUCCUCAUGCUGAAUCCAUGGCCAAAAAAUAAAUAAAUAAAUAAAAUAAAAUACAAAGUGACUGAAUGAAUUCAUAGACGACAAAACACUUAUCAUACCGGAUUUUCAUAAAACCCCCCGAGGUUGUGUGGUUCAGUCUCACCGGGCAGAAGAGGAGACAGAACAUGGAGUUGGGUGGAAGAGGAUCCACUAGCUGCCCGCAGGUUGCUGGGUCAGCGUGGUGGUGGUGGUUCGGCUUAUGCCUCUGACUGCACAGCUGUCCCAGCCAAGGGCUCCCACUUCUGUGUCCUGGACCCCGGUGGGAGUCACCAGCUCUGCAGAUGGGCCCAGAAUCAGUAAGAAGGAAGUUAGGGCUCAAGGGGCCUGUGACUUGCAUUAACCCCAUCACCCAGUGCCUUAGUGCUCCCCUCCCCCGUCCAGGGCUGACCUUCCACUGGCUCCCAGAGCUCCCUAGUUCAGCAAAACAUCGAUUGCAUGGUGCGUUGGUUAAGACUUUACAUUUGGGGGUGUAAUUAUUUCAAAGGCAAUUAGGUGCUUGAUCUUUCUUACUCUGCCUGCCAGUGGGAAUUAAUAGAAAACCUUUCAAUCAGGAACAACUGCAAAACAAUUUCUGGCCCCAAAGAUAAUCAAUAUUACACAAGCGGAGCAUUCUUCUAGCUUCAGGAAGCUAUUCAUUUCUGAUACUUUCAAAACCAGAAGGGAACGUUCUGUUUUCAUCUUCAUCAGACGCCCCCGCCUGCAGUCCUUACAAACAGCCUUUAAAAGGACACAGAAAUCUAUAUGGUUCUUUCUGACCAUCCAUCUCCAUGUCGCCUUCCAGGGUACAGGGAGUGUCAGAACCCCCUGCUCAGCGGGACAGCACGUGAUGUUCACAUUAUUAGGAAUACAGGUCACUGCCCAGCCCUGAGCCUUCCGACCAGACUGGGCGCCUGCACUGGGGUAUGAGACCCUGAGCCAUCCUCCAGCUCGUAUGUCCUAGAAUCCCCCAGAGCUCAUGGGCCAGCCAUCCUCCCAGAAGAACCUCUGGACCUGUUGACGGCUUCUUCCCUCUUCUCCGCGGUGCAGGCCCAGUCCCAAGGCUGGCUUCCAUCUCGGAGUCCUUGCUGUUGCAGGGAGCUGAUGUCCUGCCUGCUUGGUGAGGUCCCCAACAUCCUGUCCAGGUCUGGCCAGGCCCUGGUCAGGGGAGGCUCUGUGUGUGUGUGUGUGUGUGUGCACGCGCGCGCGCGGGUGUUGUGGGGCAGGUGUAACAAAGGUUAAUUGUUGAACCCUGCUCUCUCUAUCUCCCGUAUCCCCCCCUUUCUGUGUUCACACCAUGUUCUGUUCUUUUUUCUUUUUCUUUUUCUUUUUCUUUCUUUCUUUUUCUUUUUUUUUUUUUUUUACCUUGUUCUCUUCUUAACUCUGCAGGAAAUAGGGUGGGCGUCGGGUCACCAAUAAUGGCAGUCGGUGGAAUGGGAAGCUUUUCCGUAUCCUUAUCGGGCCAGUGACCUCAGACCACCGUCUCCAUAUAACAGGGUAAGGGAAACUCUAGGGCAAUGGGUCAGAAGGGGAAAUGGAAAGAAUGUUCUGGAACAAAGGCAUCUUUGGCCUUGGCUUCUUGGAAAACAGGAUUCUGUUUCCACUAGAACCAAGGUAAUUUCUGCACUUCCUGGCUUUCCAUCCACGAGCGUGGAGAAGUCCCACACCGCGGGUUCCUCUAGCGUGUACAACGCUGGCCACGGACGCUGAGAUCUAGGCGGUGCUGUUUUGAAAGCUGAUGGGAAAAUGACCACACGAGCCCUUUCCAGAAAGGAGAAUAAGAACCUCUGAGGGCUAAGGGUUCGAAGUCAGAGGUAAACAGCUAGGCUGUCUCCGUGGCCUGCUGAGCAUGUGGGUGCUGGAGCAAGCAGGAAGCUGGGGGGCCAUCGGGGGCGCUGGCUGUGAUAACGUGGACUCAGGAGGGCCGCAGCUUAGUGGGGCCAUCCUGGAGAGCGUUUGCAAACCAAUCUAGUUAAGCCAAACACAAAGGUGGAGUAGAGAAUCUAUGCAAGAGAAUAAAGUUUUAGGAGGCUGAAAAUGGGAAAGUGGUCAUUUCCAACGAUAAGCUGGCAAGUCCCCCACCUCCAGCCCUGCUCUUCCGUGCCCGCUGCCCCUCCCUCACCCGCUUUGAUUCUCUACCUUCCAUUCCUCCAAAGAGCCAUGCCCCUGCCCUCUGCCUGAAGGGGAUCCAGCCCUUACCAAAAAGGGUUUGGGGAACCCGAGAUGCAGAGAAGUAAGGUGACUGAUGCCUCAGGGUCACCCAGUCAGGGAACGGCAGAGCCAGGAUGUAAACCCAGGGGGGUGUGUUUUCACCGCCUCUCCAGCGAUCUGGGGUCAACUCCACGCAAAGGUUCGGGGAGUGCCCUGAGCAUCUCGUGGUCCAUUUACCAAACAUUUAAUGAACAUGUGGGAUACAGCUGGUGAGAGUCUCAGGCUGGAUGGCUCAUCAGAGUAGCACGCACGAGACCAAAUGUCCUGAUUUGAUCCAGUCCGUUCUCUGAAGACCCCACACUGGCACAUCCUGGGCUUCUGGUCUGAGAUUUCUCCCCCUGUGGAUGGGUGAAGGGACUUGGGAGGGGAUGGCUGUGAUCACGUGGUUGUGUUUUCAAUUAAAGAUGCUAGCCAAUGACCGUGUAUUGACGCCAGGCUCCGUGCUGUCCCUGGUGGGUACCCACAGGCACCGGAUGUCUGACGUCCUUCCAUUGCCAGUGAGGAUGGGUGAACUGGUCCAGGUCCCAUGCCUGGCAAAAGGUCUUUGCCAGGUGAGGGGUGUGGACUGGCAGGUCUCCAGCUCCUGCCGGAUGUGAGUCCUUCCUGCUCCUGACUCCCAAGCCCCCUGUGGAAGACUCAGGCUCCUUUACAACAACAGCCUCAUGCCUUUUGACCAGGCAGUGGCUAUCUGUCCAUCUGUUCAAACAUGCGUCCACUCAUCCAUCCAUCAGCACAUUUUCCAUCUGUUCUCCGUUCCUCCAGGAUGAGGCCCAGAUUCUUGGUGCAUCGAUUUAGGAUGAUUUUGCUCUAAGGAAUACGAGGCUUCAAUUCAAACUGGUUUCAGCUGUAAGGACACUUGUCAUCUCACAACCAAGAAGUCCAGAGCAGGGCAAGCCCUAGACGGGAUGCCAAGGCUCUGACCUCGUUCUCCGCUGAUCCCAGUGGUUCUGCAUGAUGGCUUCAUCCUCAGGCUGGAGGCGAGAGGCUUCGGCUGCUCGGGGCAUCUCACUGCCCCAAGGAAGAAGGGGAACCCUCUCUUCUUCUCUCUCUUUCUUUAAUGGCUGAGCCCCUGGCAUGUGGAUGUUCCCUGGCCGGGGAUGGAACCCAUACCACAGCAGUCACUCAAGCCACAGCAGUGGCAACACCAGAUCCCUAACCCACUGAGCCACUAGGGAACUCCCUUCUGUUUCUUUCAAUGGCCUUUGGUUGUGAAUUUUCUUAUUUCUGGGAAAGGCCAUGAGCCAAUAAUAAGGAAUGAAUUCAAACCCUACUGGCUGUCUCAGUGGGUCUCCAAUCAGGCCAGGCUGGUGGAAAAAGACAAACGAAGUCCUUCAGCCGAUUCCUGGAGGCCAAGGGACUGGGCAGCUGAGGCCAGGGGUGCUUGCAGGUCAGCCUGGUGGACAGCACUGAGUCUCUCUUCUCCCGAGCCUGGCAUCACACAGGCAGCCAUUAAAGCACAAAAUACAAAGUGUCUGCUCACCUGGCAGCUCUCCUCCCUGCCUCCGCGCCCCCUCCCGGAACUGGCCUCCCCAGGGUCUUUCAAACCGUCUUCUUACUUGUUGCCUUGGGUUCGAUUUUCUUUUUGCCCAGGAAGGAAGACAAUCAGCAUAAUGGCUCCCUUGUGCUCGGCGUGACACCAGAGACAGGCACCAGAGCUGCUGCAAGCUCCCCUCCUGCCCCUCCUCCCGGGGCUCAUGACAGUGGCGGUGGCGGUGGUGGCGGCUGCGGCGGCCUCAGAGCACAGCCCAGCAGGGGCUGGGAGAUCACAUGACCCGAUGCCAGAGGACCUGGGCUCAAACCACAGCUGGGCUUCUCAGGAGCUGGCUGAGGAGGGGUAAUUGCCCAAACCCUCAGUGUUCUCAUCUAGGAAACGGGGAUAAUAACCCCGCAUCUCAGAGCCGGAUGAGCUAAGACCCUGGAAAAGUGCUUCACACACAGAGAAGGGCUAUGCACAUUUAGGGAAUGAGAACAGGGGGCUAUUCUAGGACUGGGGGCGGGGCAAGGCCUUUGAAUCCCACUGUCAAGGUAGAAGCAAGUGAUGAGGGCUGGGUCCAUCCCAUCCUUUCAUUGUUUUUUGUUUUUUUUUUCCAAAACAAACAAGCAAACAAUACAAAAAAACAGACUCCAUCCCACACAAAAGUCUUCUGCAAAUUGAGUUGAGAGUCAACCUUUGGUGUGAGCUGCCCUGAAGGGAGCGGGCAUGAUGGGGAACUUUCUGGGCAUAAUAACUUGCCCCUUGCCCCAGUGCCCACUGUGUCGCUCCACCUCUGCCCUGAGCUCUGCUACAUAAAAGGAAGGCAGGAAGGCAAGGAUCCUUUAUGUAUUCAUUCAACACACUUCACGGAGCACCCAGUGUAUGCUAGUACUGUGCUGAGUGCUGGGGACUGAGAAGUGGAUAAGGAAGGGGUCCAGGGGUGCUGAGGGACGUCGGCUGUGGGCUUGGUCACACUGGCCCUUGGCACCUGGGCAGCGAAACAAACCCCAUCACCUCUCUGAGCCUCAGGUUCCUGAUCUGCAAAACGGGGAGAAGAAAUAGUUUAUACCCAAUAACGAGGAUGAGAUGAGAUGCGGUGUGUGUGUAAAGCCUUAGACAGGGGUCAAGCACUGAUAGACCACGAUGACAAUGACAUUGACCAGAAUGAUGGUGACGACAAAGUUCCUUUGGGGUAAAUCACAGGACACCCCGGAAGCACAGGUUAGGGACCUGAGUGUCACUGGUGACCUGGGGAGGGGGCUUCUGGCCGGGGUGACUCUUGAGUGUGUGGAGGUGGAAGGGAGUUCCCCAGGCCAUCAAUCUGGCGGUCAAGGCCUCUGCUACGGUCACUACGAAGCUCACAGGUCAGGGUGGACACACACAGUUUGUUUCCUGUUCAUGCACAGGCCGUGCAUGUUGAGAGACGGGACCUCGGGUGUCCUCCUCAAAGUGACUCAGUGAUGGAGGCUGCUUUGGGGGGGGUCUGUCAUCUCACCAGACAGCACGGGGUAUGUUCAUCCCACCGGUUCCUCUGUGCUUCGGCCGGAAAUGACGUGUGCCAUCCUACUGGCUGUUCCCUGGCCAGAUGGUCACGUGGUCCCAUCUAAGUGCAGGGAGGGCUGGGGGCAUGGAGGGUGGGGGUGGGGAGAGCCUCUAGGCGGAGGGAGAGCCGGGGCACAAGUAGGAGAGUGUUGGGGAAACUGUGAGCAGACCAGGGUUCCUGCAGCUGGGAGGGACAGGAAGGAGGGGGCCGGGGGCUGGGUGGUGGCAAGGAUGGGCCAGCCGCCACGCUGGAGAGCUAGGGUGACGGAAGAACGAAGGGUGUGGCUGGAGGCAAGGAGGCUCCGGAGGCUGUGGCAGGGACCUGGGCCAGGGGAGUGGAGGCCUGCGUUGGGGCCAUGGACAUGGGGCAGCCGGAGGGGACAGGGCCUUGAGAAGUCCACCAACAGAAUCAAGAGACUGGGUGUAAGUCGGGAAGAAGGAAGACGUUCAGGGCACUUGCCAGCCUCCUCCCCCGGCUGACUGUCAUUCCCGGAGUUGGGGUCAGGAGGCGGGGGACAGCGCUGGGGGAAGUCUUGAGCUCAGUGAGGCCUCCGCCCUGGCCAGGGGACAGAACAUUCCAGGGCUUGGGAGGGAAACCUGAGCUAAACAAUCAUCAACCCCUGGAGCACAGCAGUCCUGCUCACCUCCUGGUCGCCACACUGAGCAGCACCCACCUGUCAGCUGCCCACCAUCCACAGAGCCCUGCCGGGUGCCGCUGAGAGGAGACAGGGAAACCAGCCAGUCUUGGAACAGCAAAGGGGGGGCUGACAGAUUAAAAGCACCACGCGUUAUCUCAGCAGCUGAAGUUCUGAAGCCCGUGACCCCUUCCUAGACUGCACACCCCUAAUCCUAGGGUGGGCCAGGAGGGGCUGGGGGACAAAGAGCGAGGUUCUGAUUAUGGCAGGUGGAAAGACACUUUUAACAUAGAGGGCAGCUGGGACCCCACAAUGAUAGCGUUCUUUGCAGCUCUUGAGGUAACUGCAUCAUGAGUAACCCCCUGGGGAUAAUUAUUAACCCCCUUUGGGCUUCAGGGUUUGGAAUCCAAUAGAUUGUAACCAGCUCCCUUCUGAAACUGGCUCUUUCAGCGCUGCCUCCGCAGACAGGUGCUAUUUACAUGAGCAUCAUCAAAGCCUCGUGCAUUAUUGAAUAGGAGAGGUAGUUUUCGUGUGCCCUC
rnacentral:lncRNA from 1 species